rnacentral:rRNA from 1 species
CUACCAUGCAGUCGAGCGGUACAGAAAGUAGCUUGCUACUUUGCUGACGAGCGGCGGACGGGUGAGUAAUGCUUGGGAACAUGCCUUGAGGUGGGGGACAACAGUUGGAAACGACUGCUAAUACCGCAUAAUGUCUACGGACCAAAGGGGGCUUCGGCUCUCGCCUUUAGAUUGGCCCAAGUGGGAUUAGCUAGUUGGUGAGGUAAUGGCUCACCAAGGCGACGAUCCCUAGCUGGUUUGAGAGGAUGAUCAGCCACACUGGGACUGAGACACGGCCCAGACUCCUACGGGAGGCAGCAGUGGGGAAUAUUGCACAAUGGGCGCAAGCCUGAUGCAGCCAUGCCGCGUGUGUGAAGAAGGCCUUCGGGUUGUAAAGCACUUUCAGUCAGGAGGAAAGCGUGGUGGUUAAUACCCAUCAUGUGUGACGUUACUGACAGAAGAAGCACCGGCUAACUCCGUGCCAGCAGCCGCGGUAAUACGGAGGGUGCGAGCGUUAAUCGGAAUUACUGGGCGUAAAGCGUACGCAGGCGGUUUGUUAAGCGAGAUGUGAAAGCCCCGGGCUCAACCUGGGAACUGCAUUUCGAACUGGCAAACUAGAGUGUGAUAGAGGGUGGUAGAAUUUCAGGUGUAGCGGUGAAAUGCGUAGAGAUCUGAAGGAAUACCGAUGGCGAAGGCAGCCACCUGGGUCAACACUGACGCUCAUGUACGAAAGCGUGGGGAGCAAACGGGAUUAGAUACCCCGGUAGUCCACGCCGUAAACGAUGUCUACUAGAAGCUCGGAGCCUCGGUUCUGUUUUUCAAAGCUAACGCAUUAAGUAGACCGCCUGGGGAGUACGGCCGCAAGGUUAAAACUCAAAUGAAUUGACGGGGGCCCGCACAAGCGGUGGAGCAUGUGGUUUAAUUCGAUGCAACGCGAAGAACCUUACCUACACUUGACAUACAGAGAACUUACCAGAGAUGGUUUGGUGCCUUCGGGAACUCUGAUACAGGUGCUGCAUGGCUGUCGUCA